GGCCAAUAACGACUGGCGUUCUGGAUAGGGCACUUAGUCGAGAUGGUAAAUUCUCCUCCUGGAAAGAGACAGGUGGGUCCGCCCAUUUCGUCUUGUGCGUAUCUUGUUCGUGAAAUCAUUGCGACUUCCAUGGCUAUCUGUAAUGUGUCCUGUCGUUUGCCAUGUCUUGUUAUGUUACCGGUCCAAACGAAAACCCAUUUACCCUUUUGUUUAACUUCAAACUACAUAAUCCAACUUUUGUAGUUGUUUCUGCCCAAUACAAGUUGAUUUAGCCCAGUUAUCCCCGAGAACCAGAUCCAUAUAUCCCAGACAUCCACAGUGAAUAAUGGAAGCAGGUUAUUCCAUGGAAGAAAGCGGUACCAGCGGGGUCGGCAACAACAAUCGUAACCGAGCACCCAUAACCAGCAUAGCCCAGGACCACCUCGUAACAAUUCUGCUUCUACUGCCUUCAGAUUCGAUUCUUUCCUUUGCCAUGACAUGCAAGAGAUUCAGGGCACUUAUAUUCUCGGACACUCUUUGGGAAUCCAUAUGCAGGAGGGACUGGGGUCUCAAGUCUGUUGAUGCUCUCAAGUCUUCCGAUCUUCAUUUCCAGCAGCAGCAGCAGCUACCAUGGAUGAGGCUCUACAAGCAAGUCUGUCGGCUUGGGUCUGUUUCUUGCCAUAACCUGACUUACCCAGAUAGUGAAUUGUUGGUCCCACGCCCCAGAGCUUCUCACUCUCUCAACUUUGUGUCCGACUGUCUGGUUCUGUUUGGUGGUGGUUGUGAAGGAGGGCGACAUCUUGAUGACACAUGGGUGUCUUUUAUUGGCAAAGGUUUUCAGAAGAUGCCAAAGUGGCAGAAGGUUAAUUCAGGCAUUCCAAGUGGGAGAUUUGGGCAUACUUGUGUUGUAAUGGGUAAUCUCCUGGUUCUGUUUGGAGGAAUUAAUGACCAUGGGAGUCGUCAAAAUGAUACAUGGGUGGGACAAGUAGCAUGCCAUGAGACCUCGGUUAUUACAUUAUCAUGGAAGUUGCUUGAUUUGCAGUCUGUUGCACCCCCCUCACGUGGUGCCCAUGCUGCAUGUUCGGUUGAUGAUAGGUUGAUGCUCAUUCAUGGAGGGAUAGGGCUGAAUGGCCUCAGAUUGGGUGACACAUGGGUUCUAGAAGUCUCUGAAAGUCUUUGCUAUGGAGCAUGGCGUGAGAUCUUGACUUAUCCGUCACCUCCAGCUCGUUCAGGACAUUCAUUGACCUGCAUUGGGGGUAGAAGUAUAGUUUUAUUUGGAGGAAGAGGACUAGGUUAUGAGGUGCUUAAUGAUGUUUGGGUCUUGGAUAGGCUUGAGGGCUACGAUAAAUGGGCACAAAUACCAUAUGAAUUACCAAAAAUACCUGAAGGAGUUUCCCUCCCACGAGUUGGUCACUCAGCUACACCAAUUGUGGGAGGUCGAUUGCUAAUACAUGGUGGGGAAGAUUCAUACAGACACAAGAAAGAUGACUUUUGGGUGUUGGAUGUGAGUGCAAUCCCAUCCAUCAGUGUGCAGCCAAGCACACUGAACUCUAGUGGAUUAUUGGCAAAAAUGUGGAAAAAGUUCGAGGCAAAAGGUCAUAAACCGAACUGUCGGUCAUUCCAUCAGGCAUGUGCCGAUCCUUCGGGGCGUUAUUUGUAUGUGUUUGGUGGAAUGAUAGAUAGGUUAGUUCAGGCUGCUGAAUCACCUGACCUAAGUUUUGAUGCGGAACUUUUUCUUGUGGAGCUUGUGCUUGAGCUAUAGAAGGGAAUGGCUGUUUAUAUACAGUAUACGUAAGAGGUGGUGUGCUUUCCCAGAUGCGAGUCUUGUGUAUAUAUGGCUUUUAAAUAUUUCUAAAGGAGCUGCACAUGCAUCACGCGGGAAGUGCUUUUUGGUCUAGAAAGAAAAAGAGCAAUUGCUCAUUUCGGUUGAGGAAAGGCACUUUAGCACUCUUACACAAGAACAUAUAGAUGAGUUGGAGCUGCAAGGCAUAGAGGAAAAACAUAGCACUUUCGGCAGAGGAAGAAGACUUUUGAGGAAUGCCGGACUUGCACGGAGAAGGGAUUGAAGGCUUGACAUGAAAAGCAAUGGGAGCUGCGGGGGGGACUUUUAUGGCCUAGGAGAGGAAGAUGUGAGAGAGGAUUUAUUUUUUGUUUGAUGCUGGACGAGGGGAGACAAACUUCACAAGGAGUAAAGGAUGAACCAGGAGGAAUAUAUAUAUUUUUUCUUUCGUUUGGGCAAACUUCACUUAGGUGAGAGAGAAUUGGAGCAGCUAAAAAACUUUGGACUGGGAGCGUCUUCCUGGACAAGAAAAAGACAGAGCUAUUGGGGCAGGAACAAGAAAUGAAACGUUGCAUUUUUUGCAGACAGAACGGACUAGGCAGGGGGAAUUAUUUUUGGUUUGGUUCAUUGAGUGCAGGGGAUUUACGGAGAGCUAGUUUUAUUUUUCGGGAUUCUUGGAGAGAGAGGCACGAGCGCUUGAAAGAGUUUUUUUGGCUAGGACUUUUUUCGUUUGGAUGGGAAAGGCACGGAACGGAUGGAGGGAGUUCUUUUGAGCUUUAUCUUCUCUCUACGUUUACUCUCUUGUCUAGAUUGUUUUAUAGUGUUGGGUUGU